rnacentral:rRNA from 1 species
GACGUAGGGCGCGAGCGUUGUCCGGAUUUAUUGGGCGUAAAGAGCUCGUAGGCGGCUUGUCGCGUCGACCGUGAAAACCCGCGGCUUAACUGCGGGCUUGCGGUUGAUACGGGCGGGCUAGAGUUCGGUAGGGGAGACUGGAAUUCCUGGUGUAGCGGUGAAAUGCGCAGAUAUCAGGAGGAACACCGGUGGCGAAGGCGGGUCUCUGGGCCGAUACUGACGCUGAGGAGCGAAAGCGUGGGGAGCGAACAGG